GCAUCUUGCACAUAAAAGCAUAAAAUAGGAUUCUGCAAACCUCCUUGGAUAUCCUCUGUAAGACUGCUCUCAGGGUUCUAGUAUGCCUGUUUACAGUUUCAGCUGCUGAUCUACUCUGUGUGACAGUUAUAGUUAAAUAUUAUUGUUUAAAUAUUAUUGUUUAUAUGUUUUUCUAUUUUAGGUCAUCUGUAUGUGUACAUAUACAAGUUAUUACCCACCGUUUGACAUGGUUAUCUCCUGACAAACCCAGCAUUUAACUGGAAAUAACAAGCACUUAAAUCGUGAUAUAAUCAGGCUGCUCAGCAAACAAAUAAUCAAGAACAAUGUGAAAUAAAGGACAAAUAGAUGAAAUGCUGGACCUACUUAAGUCAAUGGGAAUUGUGUUAUGGACUUCAAUGAGGCCAACGUUUUUCCUGAUGUAUUGAAGUUCCAGGCCUUAUGAAAAUGCGACAGUCCUCACCUCUUCCUCAGUUAAGUGAUGGCUAUUCUUAAGGAAGAAUGCUUUUUGAAGGGGUCUGCGACUGUCUUUUCCUUAGAGGCUUGCAUAGGGAAGGGAGUUAUCAAUAGCUUCUGUGGCAAGUUCUUGCCAAAAUUCUACUGGAGACUGACAGUCGCGUGA
rnacentral:lncRNA from 1 species